rnacentral:misc_RNA from 1 species
CAACCUUCUUGUGUUUCCUGUAAAAUUACUGGAAUGUUAAACUUCUACUUUCCCAUUUAUAACUACGACAGUCGACGGAUCUGUAUUAGACGACAUCCAGCGGUACCUGUUCUUUGCUCUACAGAAGUUUCAGGGAAAGAGGUGAGAGCUAUGUGGUACUUAGCUGAUCUCCUGCCUUCACGCGAGCCACUUUCAAGAUUGAACUUGAUUCUCUAUCCAUUUGAAGACCUUUCGAAGCUGGUGUACACAG